rnacentral:lncRNA from 10 species
CACAGAAUGAGGCUUCAGAUCAUUUUAAUCAAUUAUUCUUUAUUAAGGCAAUUUAAUAGGAGAAAAGACUAAAUGUUAUUUCUUGUGCUUCACAGAUGUAUUCCAGAUGAAUAUACAUUUAAAAAUAUACAAAGAAUAAACACAGACAAGUAGAAUACCUUUGAUUACACAGCUACAAAAAUCUGACCACCUUGAAAUACUGUGUCAGGGUUAGCAAACUUCCUCUGUAAGGCCAAAUAGUAAAAGUUUCAGGCUCUGUGAACUAUAUGAUCUCUGCCACAACUAUUGAACUCUGUCAUCAUAGCAUAAAAGUAGCCAGAGACAACACAUACACAAAUGAGCAUAGCUAUGACCCAAUGAAACAUUAUUUACUAAAACAGGUAGUGGGCCAGAUUUGCCAAUUAUUGUACUAUAAUGGAUACACUUUCUCUCACAAGAGAAUUCUACCAUAGGCAUUUGAAUACAGUACAUGAAAUUCAAAACCUCAGUUGUGAAUUCGCUAUUUACCAAUGACAAGGUUUAAGUUCUUCAGU